GAGGUCUCACUCUGUCACUCAGGCCAGAGUGCAGUGGCGUGAUCCUGGCUGACUGCAGACUUGAAACCCUGGGCUCAAGCAAUCCUCCUGCCUCAGCCUCCCAAGUGGCUGGGACUACAGGUUGGCACCACCAUAUCUGGCUAAUUUGUAUUUUUUUGUAGGAACCAGGUCUUGCUUUGUUGCCCAUCUGGUCUCAAACUUCUGGUCUCAAGCAAUCCUCCCACCUCAGUCUCCCAAAGUGUUGGGAUUACAGGCAUGAGCCACUGUGCUCUACCAGGGUUGAUGUUCAAAUUUUUAUAGAGAACAAAAGAAUUUCACUGGUAAUUGUCAGAGCAGUCCUUAAGGAUAUGUCAGAAACAAAAAAAAUUAUGAUUUGAGAUAGUAAAAAAAGCCAAACGUAUAUAACAGAAAUGCACAGUAAUAGGGAAGCGACGGGAAGGACAGCAGACCCAAGACACCCCAUUUCCAGAUGGCGUGGAUGCACCAUAUCGUUUAGGUGAAGAAAGGCAACAUAAAACAUUAACAUCAAUUUUUUUUUAAAAAAAAGGUUGUAGUCUAUGUAAGUUUAUAGAAAGUUCCCCAUAUUUUUAGUGACGAUACCAUUUUGAGAGGUGGCUUAUGGAGUAUGAGACAAAGCAUAAUUCAAAGGUGUCACUGUGAUGUCACAGGGAAUAAAAACCACAGGGGGUUCAAUGGGACUAGGCCUGGACAUGCCAAGUUAUCAGGUCACAAAAUCCAUUAUGUUUACAAACUUAAGACUUCUGCUCAAUUUUUCUCUAUAUCCCCAAAAUUUGACUAAUUUAGCACUUGGCAUUAAACAUUAUUGGCCAAUAAUAAUAAAUAUUGUAUCAGUAGACUAUAUUACAUUUUGCAAAACAUUUUCAGGUCCAUCAAUUUUGCUCUCCACAUCGUCAAUUAUUUAUUCAUUCAACAAAUACAGAUUGAGUGAUAACCACAUACAAACCAGCAUUGGGGGUGCUUGAGAAACACUGAAAACAUCAUUGUCAACAAAGAUACCUCCCCUUGUGGUGUUUACAUUUAGCACAAAAAGGCAAAACAUAAAUAAAUUAAAUCAGCCUAACAAAUAAGAGAACAAUAUAGUACACUAGACAACACGUACUAUAUGGGGAACAAAGAGCCUCCACUGAGCCUAGCAAGGGUGACUGGAAAGGUGAGCUCUAGGUGGGCUCUGGGGGAGUAGGGCUGUAUAGUAUCAUUGAGAAGUUGGAUCUCAGAAGACUUAAGGAAGAAAGGGAAUAAUGAGUCAAGGGGACAUCAGGGAAAAGGGAAUGUCAAGCAGAAGCCACAGCUGGGGAAAUGGCCCUAUGAUGGGAAGUGCCUGCUUUGGUGGAAACCCGGCCAUGAGGCCAGGGCAGCUGGAGCAGAAUGCAAAGGGAAGUGGGGGUGGAAGAGAUAAUCAGAGGAGGGAUGGGGGUUCAGAUCCUCUAGGGCCUGGGGGUUCACUGUGAGGAUUCUGACUUUCACUGUAAGUUGAAUGGGAGGUCUUUGUGAUGGUAUCUAAGUCACUGUGCUGCCAACAUAUCCUUGGGUGCUAAAGGAAUCAGCCCAGCUGCUGUAGAGAGAAUGGGAGUGGAAGGGCCUAGAGCCCAAGCAGGACCACUGUGAGGAAACGAAGGUCAUAAUCCAGAGGGGCAGGAUGGAGUUCCGACCAUGGUUACAGCAGCAGGGUGGCCAGGACAACUGAACCCCGGACAUAUUCUGAAGAACCUCCCAGUAAUGCCUUCCUGAUGAGAAGCUCUGCAAACCCAGGAUGCAGGGCCAUGUGUCAAAUCGCUCAGGGUUGUUGGGGACAUCCCUCCAUGGUUCUCCAUCCUGCACACUGCGCAGGUCGGCAGUCAAGAGCAGACUCGGGUGCGCCGUGGCAGGAUCCAGCUUUACAUCCACUGCGGAAAGAACGUGGUGGAGCAGGUGAAAGGAAAGAAAGGACUGGUAGAAACUUAGGAAACCACUGAAAAGAACAGUCCCACAGUUCCUCACUUUUCUCUCUCUAUUAACUCCUAGAGAAAACAAAUCAGUAUUUCACCUUACAGGUUAAAUCUUCUUUAUUACUUUAUUAUUCUUAUUCUUUAUAACUUUCUGGUGUAUUCCACUGUUACCUCUGCAUAACCCAGAACUCUUUAACUUCCCCAAUAAAAACUACUGAUGACAACAAA